GGGGAAUAUUGGGCAAUGGGCGAAAGCCUGACCCAGCAACGCCGCGUGAAGGAAGAAGGUUUUCGGAUUGUAAACUUCUGUCCUCAGGGAAGAAGGAAGUGACGGUACCUGAGGAGGAAGCCCCGGCUAACUACGUGCCAGCAGCCGCGGUAAUACGUAGGGGGCGAGCGUUGUCCGGAAUGACUGGGCGUAAAGGGCGCGUAGACGGUUUUUUAAGUCUGGAGUGAAAGUCCUGCUUUCAAGGUGGGAAUUGCUUUGGAGACUGGAAGGCUUGAGUGCGGAAGAGGUAAGUGGAAUUCCCAGUGUAGCGGUGAAAUGCGUAGAGAUUGGGAAGAACACCAGUGGCGAAGGCGACUUACUGGGCCGUAACUGACGUUGAUGCGCGAAAGCGUGGGGAGCGAACA
rnacentral:rRNA from 1 species